ACAGAACACGACGCGUCGAUUUCCUUCGCUCCUCUUCCAGCUGUUUUCCGUGCAGCCGAUUGGGGUUUGGGGUUUGUUUGCUGGUUGUUGCUUUUGCCCCUCUCGGGAGAUCGGGUCCGGAAAUCGGCUUUGAUAUGGAACUACUCCGCUCUAGCCUGGAAAGGAGACCCGCGCACUCCUCUCGCAGCUAAUUUGGGAUCAUUAAUUUAAUCGGAAAUGAGGUAACCAGUGUAGGAGACAGAGAAAGCAACCGGAGCAUCAAAUGGCAGUUCUCGACAAUCGACGAGGAACUUAAAUCUGGACUCAGGGUUUUAGUGCGGUCCCUGAAUCCCACCACCCGGUCCCUCCGCCUGUCCCGCCGCCAGGUGUGACCUCCACGCGAAGGAAUCUUCUGCGGAUGGGUGCACCUUGCCAACAGGUGUGGCACCUGGAGGAUUAAGAGGCGCCUCCAGACUAAGGGUGCUCAAUGUGGCGUUCUUGUUGCAGAUGAUUCUGGAAGGCCAGUAGGUGUCGGGAGACAUUUGACCUUCUGCAGGUGCUUAGAACUAAGUGUCUGGAAACAUGAUCCCUUCGCGUAAGUUUUUUUCUGAAAGACAACGCUCUUGACUGUAAGCUGUAUUUGAGAGACCUUUUGGCUGAGUUUACUUAAGAUCUAACGGUUAGUCACCAACUGAGGCAGGGCACAGGAUGACCCAAAAAAAAUGUGUCAGUUUUUACACAACUCUGGCCUGCAAGAGUCUACGUGCUUCAUAAAUAAAAAUAAACAUCCGAGCGAGGAAGGUGCAGAGCCCCGGAAAUAUUUUUUCUCGCGUUUUUGAAAUACCGUGCACAUAUACGUGGCUAUUUAAAUGUAACUACUACUGUUCACUCUUACUCAUUUCUACAACUUUUGUUUCCAUUUAAAAAUCGAUUAUUGUUACGGUUUAAACCUCGGGUUGGUCUAAAGUGACAUUGUUGGUCUCAUUACAGCCUCUAGUGGACAGUUAACAUCGGUUUCCUGAAAAGGCUCUGACUGAUUUUGUUUUCGUUGACAAGCUUGGCCAAGGUGAAGGUUAGUACGUAAGAGCAUAAUCGGGUAAAAUGUUCCCUUGCCCCUAACCUCACCCCCGCCCCCAACACCCUACUUGGCAAAGACGACUUCAGAAAGGAGCAGUGGCUUGUUGGCUUUGUAUAGAAAAGACGUAUGCUUUGUGCUGCAGGUAUUAUUAUUACUGGACUGUGAAUAAACAGAAAGCUUCUGCUAUUCA